GGGGAAAUGAGUUUGGGAACAGCGAGGCCAGCCACCUGGAGUGCCCCGGCCCCCAGCAUCACUCCAGUAGGGGACACCAUGGAUGGUGGUCAAGCCAGUACUUCUCAAACUUACCUGUCCUGGAACCCUUUUUAAUGGGGAAGUUACGGAGCUAGUGUUCUGCGGGACAUACUUUGGGAAACACCAAGUGACCCGUUCUGCUUCACUGGCUCCUAAUCCCACCCACCUGUGCUCUCAGUCACUCCUGCACCAUCACAGCCGCUUCUCCUCCUUCCCUCGCUUGCCUACUCCCCAGUACCAGCCUCUACAUAGCUUC
rnacentral:misc_RNA from 1 species